AUUGAACGCUGGCGGCAGGCCUAACACAUGCAAGUCGAACGAGUGGCGGACGUAUGAGUAAUGUCUGGGAAACUGCCCGAUGGAGGGGGAUAACUACUGGAAACGGUAGCUACUACCGCAUACCAUCGGAUGUGCCCAGUUGGGAUUAGCUAGUAGGAGGGGUAAUGGCUCACCUAGGCGAAGAUCCCUACCUGGUCUGAGAGGAUGACCAGCCACACUGGAACUGAGACACGGUCCAGACUCCUACGGGAGGCAGCAGUGGGGAAUAUUGCACAAUGGGCGAAAGACUGAUGCAGCCAUGCCGCGUGUAUGAAGAAGGCCUUCGGGUUGUAAAGUACUUUCAGCGAGGAGGCGUUACUAGCAGAAGAAGCACCGGCUAACUCCGUGCCAGAAGCCGCGGUAAUUC
rnacentral:rRNA from 1 species